rnacentral:rRNA from 1 species
CCACCACCAAAGCAUUUGCUGUACCGCGUUGACGGAGCGAAGCGACGUCAAACCGAUAAAACAGCAGUGUAAAGUGAGCCGCAGGGCGCUUUGCGCGACAGCGCAAAGGCAGGCGGUUUCGCGUAGCGAAAGCGAAUGCUUUGGGGUGGGGUGACUGCGUACCUUUUGUAUAAUGGGUCAGCGACUUAUAUUCUGUAGCAAGGUUAACCGAAUAGGGGAGCCGGAGGGAAACCGAGUCUUAAUUGGGCGUUAAGUUGCAGGGUAUAGACCCGAAACCCGGUGAUCUAGCCAUGGGCAGGUUGAAGGUUGGGUAACACUAACUGGAGGACCGAACCGACUAAUGUUGAAAAAUUAGCGGAUGACCUGUGGCUGGGGGUGAAAGGCCAAUCAAACCGGGAGAUAGCUGGUUCUCCCCGAAAGCUAUUUAGGUAGCGCCUCGUGAAUUCAUCUCCGGGGGUAGAGCACUGUUUCGGCUAGGGGGCCAUCCCGGCUUACCAACCCGAUGCAAACUGCGAAUACCGGAGAAUGUUAUCACGGGAGACACACGGCGGGUGCUAACGUCCGUCGUGAAGAGGGAAACAACCCAGACCGCCAGCUAAGGUCCCAAAGUCAUGGUUAAGUGGGAAACGAUGUGGGAAGGCCCAGACAGCCAGGAUGUUGGCUUAGAAGCAGCCAUCAUUUAAAGAAAGCGUAAUAGCUCACUGGUCGAGUCGGCCUGCGCGGAAGAUGUAACGGGGCUAAACCAUGCACCGAAGCUGCGGCAGCGACACUGUGUGUUGUUGGGUAGGGGAGCGUUCUGUAAGCCUGUGAAGGUGUGUCGUGAGGCAUGCUGGAGGUAUCAGAAGUGCGAAUGCUGACAUAAGUAACGAUAAAGCGGGUGAAAAGCCCGCUCGCCGGAAGACCAAGGGUUCCUGUCCAACGUUAAUCGGGGCAGGGUGAGUCGACCCCUAAGGCGAGGCCGAAAGGCGUAGUCGAUGGGAAACGGGUUAAUAUUCCCGUACUUGGUGUUACUGCGAAGGGGGGACGGAGAAGGCUAUGUUGGCCGGGCGACGGUUGUCCCGGUUUAAGCGUGUAGGUGUGUGUUCUAGGUAAAUCCGGUUCACUUUAACACUGAGGCGUGACGACGAGGCACUACGGUGCUGAAGCAACAAAUGCCCUGCUUCCAGGAAAAGCCUCUAAGCAUCAGGUAACAUCAAAUCGUACCCCAAACCGACACAGGUGGUCAGGUAGAGAAUACCAAGGCGCUUGAGAGAACUCGGGUGAAGGAACUAGGCAAAAUGGUGCCGUAACUUCGGGAGAAGGCACGCUGACACGUAGGUGAAGUGAUUUACUCAUGGAGCUGAAGUCAGUCGAAGAUACCAGCUGGCUGCAACUGUUUAUUAAAAACACAGCACUGUGCAAACACGAAAGUGGACGUAUACGGUGUGACGCCUGCCCGGUGCCGGAAGGUUAAUUGAUGGGGUCAGCGCAAGCGAAGCUCCUGAUCGAAGCCCCGGUAAACGGCGGCCGUAACUAUAACGGUCCUAAGGUAGCGAAAUUCCUUGUCGGGUAAGUUCCGACCUGCACGAAUGGCGUAAUGAUGGCCAGGCUGUCUCCACCCGAGACUCAGUGAAAUUGAACUCGCUGUGAAGAUGCAGUGUACCCGCGGCAAGACGGAAAGACCCCGUGAACCUUUACUAUAGCUUGACACUGAACAUUGAGCCUUGAUGUGUAGGAUAGGUGGGAGGCUUUGAAGUGUGGACGCCAGUCUGCAUGGAGCCGACCUUGAAAUACCACCCUUUAAUGUUUGAUGUUCUAACGUGGACCCGUUACCCGGGUUGCGGACAGUGUCUGGUGGGUAGUUUGACUGGGGCGGUCUCCUCC